UACAGAGGUGGCAAGCGUUGUUCGGAAUUACUGGGCGUAAAGGGCGCGUAGGCGGCCUUCUAAGUCAGACGUGAAAUCCCCCGGCUUAACCUAGGAACUGCGUCUGAUACUGGGAGGCUUGAGUAUGGGAGAGGGAUGUAGAAUUCCAGGUGUAGCGGUGAAAUGCGUAGAUAUCUGGAGGAAUACCGGUGGCGAAGGCGGCAUCCUGGACCAUUACUGACGCUGAGGCGCGAAAGCUAGGGGAGCAAACGGG
rnacentral:rRNA from 1 species